rnacentral:lncRNA from 1 species
AGAGUGCUCCCCCACAUACACUCUUCUGCCCCACCGUUCCAGCAUCCCCCUAUGCUAGGGUAUCAAGCUUCCCCAGGACCCAGGGCCUCUCUUCCUCUGCUGUCAGGCAAGGCCAUCCUCUGCUACAUACCUAUCUGGAGCCAUGGAUCCCUCCAGGGACACUCCUUGGUUGGUGAUCUGGACUCUGGGAGAACUGGGUGGUCAGGUGUUGUUCUUCUGUUGGGGUUGUAGUCCCCCUUCUCCCCUCAAGUCCUGAAACCUAGGAUUAUUAAGAAAAAAAAAAAAA